AUCCGGCUUUCCUAUUCCUAAACGUUUUGUACUUGAGUUCGAGAGGCAACAGAGAAAUGACGAGUUCGUUGGAACGUUAGGUGUUAUCGGUAUUUUAAACAAUAAAAUUAGCUCGACAGUUUGAAAAAUAAAAUACAUUCGCUAGCUAUGUGUUGAUAAAUAGAUGGUAUAAUUCUAAAAUGGAAGAACCGUGGGAUUUCGAGUUUUUAUCACGUAUUGGGGAUGGGUUUGUUUCGUUUCUGUCCGAAUUUGUUGACGAUUGGCUUGCGAAAGAUAUGAGAGUGUAUGUAUUCAAAAUCUUAAUUAGCUGGCUGAUAAUUAGUUUAAUCGCAAUCCACUUUGCCUGGAAAAUUUAUGGAAACACAGUAAAUGAUAUGUAUUAUCGUCAAGGAACAAGUGGACAGAAUGGAGGCACACCUGACACUGCACCUAACCUGAGCGGAUGGUAGGUGUUCGAGCAUCCAUAUGGACAUGUGUGUUACAGGGAGAGCGCAGCUGGAGACACACUCAAGACACACCGUGAGUGACCGCCAGGACUUGUUGGUGGAAUAAUCACAUGAACUGGCUCUUUGUUCAGCGAACAUGACUUUAAAUGAAGUGGAUUGAAUUGCAAAUGGGAAUGCUCCCUUUUAAAGUGACUGGAGUUGCUUGAAAAUCCUUCAUCCUCGCAGUUUCUUAACAUCAGAAGGCUGCCACUUGGCUGUGAGAAAGAAGAAGUAACAAACCAACCCCAUCGUACAUUAAUAUUACAAAGAAUAUGCUGAGUGGUGAUACACUAAUACUGUUUUAUCAAAAUGGUCCAGAAAUAAACAAGUUCAACUCGAAAAUCACUCACCAGACAAUGUUAAAA